UACGGGGGGGGCAAGCGUUGUUCGGAAUUACUGGGCGUAAAGGGCUCGUAGGCGGCCAACUAAGUCGGACGUGAAAUCCCCAGGCUCAACCUGGGAACUGCGUCCGAUACUGGAUGGCUUGAAUUCGGGAGAGGGAUGCAGAAUUCCUGGUGUAGCGGUGAAAUGCGCAGAUAUCAGGAGGAACACCGGUGGCGAAGGCGGAUCUCUGGGCCUUACCUGACGCUGAGGCGCGAAAGCUAGGGGAGCGAACAGG
rnacentral:rRNA from 1 species